UCCCCACAUUUCUUGGGCCCUGGUGU
rnacentral:piRNA from 1 species